GAUGAACGCUGGCGGCGUGCUUAACACAUGCAAGUCGAACGAUGAAAGCGGGAGCUUGCUCCUGCUGGAUUAGUGGCGAACGGGUGAGUAACACGUGAGUAACCUGCCCUUGACUCUGGGAUAAGCGUUGGAAACGACGUCUAAUACCGGAUACGACCUUCGGAGGCAUCUCCUGGGGGUGGAAAGAAUUUCGGUCAAGGAUGGACUCGCGGCCUAUCAGCUAGUUGGUGAGGUAAUGGCUCACCAAGGCGACGACGGGUAGCCGGCCUGAGAGGGUGACCGGCCACACUGGGACUGAGACACGGCCCAGACUUCUACGGGAGGCAGCAGUGGGGAAUAUUGCACAAUGGGCGCAAGCCUGAUGCAGCAACGCCGCGUGAGGGACGACGGCCUUCGGGUUGUAAACCGUCUUUUAGUUAGGGAAGAAGACGAAGUAGACGGUACCUGCAGAAAAGACA
rnacentral:rRNA from 1 species